rnacentral:rRNA from 1 species
GACGAACGCUGGCGGCGUGCUUAACACAUGCAAGUCGAACGAAGAGCGAUGGACGCUUGCUUCUAUCAAUCUUAGUGGCGAACGGGUGAGUAACGCGUAAUCAACCUGCCCUUCAGAGGGGGACAACAGUUGGAAACGACUGCUAAUACCGCAUACGAUCUAAUCUCGGCAUCGAGGAUAGAUGAAAGGUGGCCUCUACAUGUAAGCUAUCACUGAAGGAGGGGAUUGCGUCUGAUUAGCUAGUUGGAGGGGUAACGGCCCACCAAGGCGAUGAUCAGUAGCCGGUCUGAGAGGAUGCACGGCCACAUUGGGACUGAGACACGGCCCAGACUCCUACGGGAGGCAGCAGUGGGGAAUCUUCCGCAAUGGACGAAAGUCUGACGGAGCAACGCCGCGUGAGCGAUGACGGCCUUCGGGUUGUAAAGCUCUGUUAAUCGGGACGAAAGGCCUUCUUGCGAAUAGUGAGAAGGAUUGACGGUACCGGAAUAGAAAGCCACGGCUAACUACGUG